rnacentral:rRNA from 1 species
CAUGCAGGCGGUCGUACGCGUUUUGUGUGACAGCGGGUGGCUUAACUACCCGAGGAUGCGAAAGACGGUAUGACUUGAGAGCUCGAGAGGGACACGGAAUUCCGGGUGGAGUGGUGAAAUGCGUAGAGAUCCGGAGGAACACCGAAGGCGAAGGCAGUGUCCUGGCGAGCGACUGACGCUGAGGUGCGAAAGCCAGGGGAGCGAACGGGAUUAGAUACCCCGGUAGUCCUGGCCGUAAACGAUGACCACCAGGUGUGGGAGGUAUCGACCCCUUCCGUGCCGGAGGCAACCCACUAAGUGGUCCGCCUGGGGAGUACGGUCGCAAGAUUAAA